rnacentral:rRNA from 1 species
AGUGAACGCUGGCGGUAGGCCUAACACAUGCAAGUCGAACGGCAGCACAGUAAGAGCUUGCUCUUACGGGUGGCGAGUGGCGGACGGGUGAGGAAUACAUCGGAAUCUACUUUUUCGUGGGGGAUAACGUAGGGAAACUUACGCUAAUACCGCAUACGACCUACGGGUGAAAGCAGGGGAUCUUCGGACCUUGCGCGAUUGAAUGAGCCGAUGUCGGAUUAGCUAGUUGGCGGGGUAAGGGCCCACCAAGGCGACGAUCCGUAGCUGGUCUGAGAGGAUGAUCAGCCGCACUGGAACUGAGACACGGUCCAGACUCCUACGGGAGGCAGCAGUGGGGAAUAUUGGACAAUGGGCGCAAGCCUGAUCCAGCCAUACCGCGUGGGUGAAGAAGGCCUUCGGGUUGUAAAGCCCUUUUGUUGGGAAAGAAAAGCAGCAGGUUAAUACCCCGCUGUUCUGACGGUACCCAAAGAAUAAGCACCGGCUAACUUCGUG